rnacentral:misc_RNA from 1 species
GACGAAGAACGUAGCGAAAUGCGAUAAGUAGUGUGAAUUGCAGAAUUCAGUGAAUCAUCGAAUCUUUGAACGCACAUUGCGCCCUUUGGUAUUCCUUAGGGCAUGCCUGUUCGAGCGUCAUUUAAACCUUCAAGCUCAGCUUGGUGUUGGGUGACUGUCCGCUUCACCGCGGACUCGCCUCAAAAUUAUUGGCGGCCGGUACAUUGGCUCUCGAGCGCAGCAGAAACGCGUAACUCGAGGUCCUCGUGCUGGCUCCCAGAAGCUAUCUUCACAAUUUUGACCUCGGAUCAGGUAGGGAUACCCGCUGAACUUAAGCAUAUCAAUAAGCGGAGGA